GUCUUCGUGGUGUAGAGGUCAGCACGCUCGACUGUAACUCGUAACUGAGAGGUCUGUAGUUCGAUUCCCGGCGAAGGCG
rnacentral:tRNA from 1 species